CCAAUAGCGUAUAUUAAAGUUGUUGCAGUUAAAAAGCUCGUAGUUGAAUUUCGGGAUCAAUUUAUUGGUCGUGCAAUAGUACGUACUGGUUUUAUUGGUUCCUCCCUUCUGAUGAACCAUGAUGUCAUUAAUUUGGUGUUAUGGGGAAUCAGGACUGUUACUUUGAAAAAAUUAGAGUGUUUAAAGCAGGCUCACGCUUGAAUACAUUAGCAUGGAAUAAUGAAAUAGGACGUUUGAUUCUAUUUUGUUGGUUUCUAGGAUCGACGUAAUGAUUAAUAGGGAUAGUUGGGGGCAUUAGUAUUCAAUUGUCAGAGGUGAAAUUCUUGGAUUUAUUGAAGACUAACUACUGCGAAAGCAUUUGCCAAGGAUGUUUUCAUUAAUCAAGAACGAAAGUUAGGGGAUCGAAGACGAUCAGAUACCGUCGUAGUCUUAACCAUAAACUAUGCCGACUAGGGAUCGGAUGAUGUUAAUUUUUUAAUGACUCAUUCGGCGCCUUACG
rnacentral:rRNA from 1 species